rnacentral:sRNA from 1 species
UGAAGGCGUUAGAUAUGUCUAUAGACACC